AACGAACGCUGGCGGCAUGCCUAACACAUGCAAGUCGAACGAGACCUUCGGGUCUAGUGGCGCACGGGUGCGUAACGCGUGGGAACCUGCCCUUAGGUUCGGAAUAACUCCCCGAAAGGGGUGCUAAUACCGGAUAAUGUCUUCGGACCAAAGAUUUAUCGCCUUUGGAUGGGCCCGCGUUGGAUUAGCUAGUUGGUAGGGUAAAAGCCUACCAAGGCGACGAUCCAUAGCUGGUCUGAGAGGAUGAUCAGCCACACUGGGACUGAGACACGGCCCCGACUCCUACGGGAGGCAGCAGUGGGGAAUAUUGGACAAUGGGCGAAAGCCUGAUCCAGCAAUGCCGCGUGAGUGAUGAAGGUCUUAGGGUUGUAAAGCUCUUUUACCCGGGAUGAUAAUGACAGUACCGGGAGAAUAAGCUCCGGCUAACUCCGUG
rnacentral:rRNA from 1 species